AGAAAUUCGGCAUGAAUUGAUGGCUUUAUAGCUAACGCACCAUGGCCGUUGUUAUAUGAACAAUUUUAUGAAUGAAUUCCUUUCCUUUCAGAGUGAAUGACCAGGCUGCAAUGCUCAGUAAUUAUGAGGUUUAUUCUCUACUUAAAGAGAUUGAGUCCAAAGGGAAGAAGAAGAAAUCUCGGGCCCAGCAGAACCUUGCAACCAUAACGUAUGAGACCCUGAACUACUUGAAGAACACUCCCUGCACACUACAGAACCCAGAGAUGGUGUCUGAGUUUAUGGAGGCUCUGGGUCCAUACAAUCUCACAAAAGCAGAAAAAUUGCAACUGCUGAAUCACAGACCAUCCAGUGCAGUGGAAAUACAGUUGAUAAUAGAAGAGAGUGAAGAGCGGCUGACAGAAGAACAGAUAGAUGAACUGUUGCAAUUGGUUGCUGACAAACUGCCUGAUCCAAAUGCACCAGAGGGGGGAGGGGAGGGGGAGGAAGGUGGGGAGGGGGGCACAGAACGUAUGGAGGAAGAGGAGGAAUAGAUAAAUAUUUUAUUUUAUUGUUAGGACCAUUCCAUCUUGAAAAGUUGGCAAGGGUGGAGCCACAUCAUGUAAAUAUUUUCUACCUUGGAUCCCUCCUUGCUGUCAAAGUUUUUUUAAUGGAAUAGUCCAUUCUACCUGUAAUUUUUGUCACAAGUAUUUGGAAAGUCAAUGAGAAGUUGGAUGGAAUCAACUGACAUGCCUGGAACUGUACAGUUCCCAUAUUUCAACUGAAAGAGCAUAAGCUUAAACUUUACUCAGUCUGAUUGAAACCAAGUCACACCAAUGAUGUCAAUUUUCAUCUGAUGUAUAGGCUUGGUCAGUGUUAGUUGCGUAGUAUUGCAGUAUUGAUACAGUGUAUUAAGUCAAGAGUUUGUAUUGAGCUCACAUCUUAGCUUGGUAAGAAAGUAUUGGUGGUUAGAGAUGGCACUAGACUCUGAAUAACCUGGCAUCAAUUCUUUGUGUUAAGGUUGCUUGAGCAAGGUUAUUGAAGCAGAUGAGCUAAGCCUCUGAUGUAACUUCAGUUAUACACAUCCAAAUGACAUGUUACCUGAGUUAGGUAUGUCUUAAUGUAUUAUCAAAAUGCGUACAUAAGAAAAACACCUAGCUAGACCAAGAUAUCCUCUGGCCAAGUUCAGCUCCCAUAACUGGAAUGUGUAGACUGGACGUUAAAAAAAGUUACAAUU